rnacentral:rRNA from 1 species
UACGUAGGCAGCAAGCGUUGUUCGGAGUUACUGGGCGUAAAGGGUGUGUAGGCGGUUCUUUAAGUUUGGUGUGAAAUCUCCCGGCUCAACUGGGAGGGUCGCGCCGAAUACUGAGGGACUAGAGUGACGGGAGAGGGAAAGUGGAAUUCCUGGUGUAGCGGUGAAAUGCGUAGAUAUACGGAGGAACACCUGCGGCGAAGGCGGGUAGCUGGGCCAACACUGACGCUGAGACGCGAAAGCUAGGGGAGCAAACGGG